CUGCUAUUGGGGUGAGGCUAAGCCAUGCGAGUUAGCUCUCCUAGCCAUGAUGGAGGGCGGCGUACGGCUCAGUAACAUGUGGUCAAUCUACCCUCAGGACGGAGAUAACCUCGGGAAACUGAGGCUAAUAUCCGAUAGAUAAUGGAUCCUGGAAUGGUUCGUUAUUCAAAUGGCACAUUGCUCAUGCGUAGUGUGUCGCCUGAGGAUGAGACUGCACCCUAUCAGGUAGUUGGUGGGGUAACGGCCCACCAAGCCUAUAACGGGUACGGGCCCUGAGAGGGGGAGCCCGGAGAUGGGUACUGAGACAAGGACCCAGGCCCUACGGGGCGCAGCUGGCGCGAAACCUCCGCAAUGCGCGAAAGCGCGACGGGGCCACCCCGAGUGCCAUCCGCUGAGGGUGGCUUUUCCCUAGUGUAGUAAGCUAAGGGAAUAAGCGGGGGGCAAGCCUGGUGUCAGCCGCCGCGGUAAAACCAGC
rnacentral:rRNA from 1 species